GGUUCUCGUCGCCUGAGUUCCGCCGCUGCAGAAAUGGAUUGCCGGUUCUCGUCUGUUGCUGCGUGUUCAAUGUCUUGGUGCAAUUUCAAAGCUUUUCUUUGAAAUCAGAAAGCUUUCUAUGUAGUGUGUUAUGCAAACGCAGGCCUGGCUUUGCAUCAGUUUCUGCGAAGCCGCAAACGAUGGUGUGCGUCAAAUUGGGAUUAGAGUGAUUAAUUUUUGUUCAUUUUCAUGAUUUAGGAGGUAGAGGUGAAUCUGCACGCGAAAGUCAAGUGCUUGUUUGAUAUAGACAUUGGUGGUGAAGCUCUAGGUCGGGUUGUGAUUGGCCUUUUUGGUGAGGUUGUUCCUGAAAGCACAGACGACGGUGAGGGCAGAGAGGCAGUGCUUGUUGUCGCUGUCGUCGGUCUCGAUUGGGAAUUGAAUUGAGUCGGAUUGUGAUUCCGAGGCCUGUGCACAGGGGAGAAAGGAUAUGGUCAUAAAAGAUGCUCUUUCCACUGCAUUAUUAAGGAUUUUAUGAUCCAAGGAGGGGAUUUCACUAACGGAGAUGGAACCGGAGGGAUCAGCAUCUACAGUUUCCAAAUUUAAAGAUCAGAACUUUGCUUUGAAGCAUGUCGGGCCUGGUGUAGUGAGCAUGGCCAACGCAGUCCCUGGUACUAAUGGGAGUCAGUUUUUAUCUGCACAGUAAAGAUGUUUGUCCAUUUAUGAACCGAGCAAACUAUUUUACGAUGAUAACUGAAAUGGUGCAAAUGAUAGUUCACUAGAUCAAGGUGAUGAAAACGACGACCUCAACCAUCAAGAGGGUGAUGGGAAUGUUAAGCAGCCAGACUGCAAGAAUGGUGAUGGGGAUGCUAAGGAGCCAGACUGCAACAAAGGUGACAGAACAUGUUAAGCUGCCAGAUUAGGAACAUCUGGUGCCCAAGGUGGUGUGAUCAGCAGCCUGAAGCUCUGCGACUCUCUCCUUCUCUAUGGUUCAUGUAUGAGAAGUAGCCAUGCCUUCCAUCGCCACAUCCAAAAGUGUAUAAAUGAAGCUUGUAGCGACCAGCAGAUAGAGAGCAGUGCAGUAUUGCUCUUACAGUCUUACAGACCUCAAGGAAAGAGAAAUAAGAACAAAAACUAGCACACAGAACCCCUCUGACAACCUAGCUGCAGUGAAUCCAGAGAAAAAGCCUGAGCUGACGAAAGUGGCAAUGAAUUAUGCCAUGCCUGAGGCCAGCUGAAUGCCCUAACUUAGCCAGAAGGUCCGUUAGAAAGUUAGCUUCUUGAUGAAUAUGGACGAAGGAAAUGGAGGUGAAAUCAGCAGCAAGUCGCUUGAUAUCAUGAAUGAUUGAUCUCAUGAGCCAAGGAAUAUUUCAGCAUCCAUUAAUACUAUCUAUGAGGAGUUUAAUUAGAGUCGCCUUCAAGUUGCA